AAACAUGUCUUUUUGAAUUGUAUUUAAAGUCUGACCUGCCCACUGAAUAAAUUUAAAUGGCCGCAGUAUUUUGACUGUGCAAAGGUAGCAUAAUCAUUAGUUUUUUAAUUGAAAGCUGGUAUGAACGGUUGGACGAAGUAUAAGCUGUUUCAUUUAAAUUUAUAAUAGAAUUUUAUAUUUUAGUUAAAAAGCUAAAAUUUUAUUAAAAGACGAGAAGACCCUAUAAAUCUUUAUAAUUAACAUUAACUAAAUUUUUUUGAUUUAUUUUAUUUUUUUAAUAUUAAUUAUUUUGUUGGGGUGAUGUUAAAAUUUAAUGAACUUUUAAUUUUUUAAAAUCAUUAAUUUAUGAAUUAUUGAUCCAUUAAUAAUGAUUAUAAGAUUAAGUUACUUUAGGGAUAACAGCGUAAUUUUUUUUGAGAGUUCAUAUCGACAAAAAAGUUUGCGACCUCGAUGUUGGAUUAAGGUAUAAUUUUGGGUGUAGCUGUUCAAAAAUUAAGUCUGUUCGACUUUUAAAUCCUUACAUGAUC
rnacentral:rRNA from 1 species